rnacentral:rRNA from 1 species
AGAGUUUGAUCAUGGCUCAGAAUCAACGCUGGCGGCGCGCUUAACACAUGCAAGUCGAACGGGAAAGUGGAGCAAUCCAUGAGUACAGUGGCGUACGGGUGAGUAACACGUGGGUGAUCUACCUUUUAGUGGGGAAUAACCCUGGGAAACCGGGGCUAAUACCGCAUAAUCCCGAGAGGGGAAAGCAGCAAUGCGCUGAAAGAGGAGCCCGCGGCCGAUUAGCUAGUUGGUAGGGUAAGAGCCUACCAAGGCAGAGAUCGGUAGCCGGCCUGAGAGGGCACACGGCCACACUGGCACUGAAACACGGGCCAGACUCCUACGGGAGGCAGCAGUGGGGAAUCUUGCACAAUGGGGGCAACCCUGAUGCAGCGACGCCGCGUGAGCGAUGAAGCCCUUCGGGGUGUAAAGCUCUUUCGGCAGGGAAGAUUAUGACGGUACCUGCAGAAGCAGCUGCGGCUAACUACGUGCCAGCAGCCGCGGUAAUACGUAGGCAGCGAGCGUUGUUCGGAGUUACUGGGCGUAAAGGGUGUGUAGGCGGUUCUUUAAGUUUGGUGUGAAAUCUCCCGGCUCAACCGGGAGGGUGCGCCGAAUACUGAGGAACUAGAGUACGGGAGAGGAAAGUGGAAUUCCUGGUGUAGCGGUGAAAUGCGUAGAUAUCAGGAGGAACACCGGUGGUGUAGACGGCUUUCUGGACCGUAACUGACGCUGAGACACGAAAGCGUGGGUAGCAAACAGGAUUAGAUACCCUAGUAGUCC